rnacentral:snRNA from 1 species
GUGCUUGUUUGGCAGCACAUAUACUGAAAAUGGAAUGCUACAGAGAUUAGCAGGACCGUAUGCAAGGAUGGAACGCAAAUUUUGAAGUGUUCCACACUUUA